rnacentral:rRNA from 1 species
ACAGUGUCUGGUGGGUAGUUUGACUGGGGCGGUCUCCUCCUAAAGAGUAACGGAGGAGCACGAAGGUUGGCUAAUCCUGGUCGGACAUCAGGAGGUUAGUGCAAUGGCAUAAGCCAGCUUGACUGCGAGCGUGACGGCGCGAGCAGGUGCGAAAGCAGGUCAUAGUGAUCCGGUGGUUCUGAAUGGAAGGGCCAUCGCUCAACGGAUAAAAGGUACUCCGGGGAUAACAGGCUGAUACCGCCCAAGAGUUCAUAUCGACGGCGGUGUUUGGCACCUCGAUGUCGGCUCAUCACAUCCUGGGGCUGAAGUAGGUCCCAAGGGUAUGGCUGUUCGCCAUUUAAAGUGGUACGCGAGCUGGGUUUAGAACGUCGUGAGACAGUUCGGUCCCUAUCUGCCGUGGGCGCUGGAGAACUGAGGGGGGCUGCUCCUAGUACGAGAGGACCGGAGUGGACGCAUCACUGGUGUUCGGGUUGUCAUGCCAAUGGCACUGCCCGGUAGCUAAAUGCGGAAGAGAUAAGUGCUGAAAGCAUCUAAGCACGAAACUUGCCCCGAGAUGAGUUCUCCCUGACUCCUUGAGAGUC